rnacentral:misc_RNA from 1 species
GAAAUGCGAUAAGUAAUGUGAAUUGCAGAAUUCAGUGAAUCAUCGAAUCUUUGAACGCACCUUGCGCCUUUUGGUAUUCCGAAAGGCAUGCCUGUUUGAGUGUCAUGAAAUCUCAAUCCCCCCGGGUUUUCUGAACCCGAGGUGGACUUGGACAUGGGUGUCUGCCGUCUCGUACGGCUCGCCUUAAAUGACUCAGUGGGAUCUUCAGCAUCCGUGGCAGACGUAAUAAGUUUCGUCUCGUCCCUUGCUGUGAGGACCGCUCAUAACCUGCCAUCGCGCACCAUUUUUUCACUCUUGACCUCGGAUCAGGUAGGGUUACCCGCUGGAUUUAA